GGCGGCAUAGCUCAGUGGCUAGAGCACUCGGUUCAUACCCGGGGUGUCGUUGGUUCAAAUCCAAUUGCCGCUACCA
rnacentral:tRNA from 1 species